rnacentral:misc_RNA from 1 species
GGUCUGUCCUCUCUUCUAUCUUUCGUCUUUGCACAUGCAAAGGGAUAAAACCCACACGCCCAUAGGCUCCAGGCCUUGUCAACAUCUUACAAUGUCCAUUGAAACAAAUGAGCAAUACAGCAUCAAAAUUAAAAGGGUUAUGCAGGUCUUAGCAUCUCCAAAAAAAUAGCCACUUGAUUUAGUACGUGAAACAUUUUUGCCCCAACUACAGAUGGGGAAUUUGCUGCUUAUAAAUAUAGUUGGUUUUAAGCAGGGAAAUGGGCGUAUUAUAAUCAGUAUUUUAUGGUAGCUGUAUGAAAUUCAGUGGGUUCCCUGUUAAAUCGGAUGCAUCCCUGCAUUGAGUCUUCAGCAGAUGCCAUUAUUUAGGUUUGUCUGUUAAGGUGACCAGAGA